CGGCGGACGGGUGAGUAACGCGUGGGUAACCUGCCUCAUACAGGGGGAUAACAGUUGGAAACGGCUGCUAAUACCGCAUAAGCGCACAGUACCGCAUGGUACCGUGUGAAAACUCCGGUGGUAUGAGAUGGACCCGCGUCUGAUUAGCUAGUUGGUGGGGUAACGGCCUACCAAGGCGACGAUCCAUAGCCGACCUGAGAGGGUGACCGGCCACAUUGGGACUGAGACACGGCCCAA
rnacentral:rRNA from 1 species